UACGUAGGGGGGCUAGCGUUGUCCGGAAUCAUUGGGCGUAAAGAGCGUGUAGGCGGUCCGGUAAGUCCGCUGUGAAAGUCGGGGGCUCAACCCUCGAAUGCCGGUGGAUACUGUCGGGCUAGAGUGCGGAAGAGGCGAGUGGAAUCCUGGUGUAGCGGUGAAAUGCGCAGAUAUCAGGAGGAACACCUAUUGCGAAGGCAGCUCGCUGGGGACGUUACUGACGCUGAGACGCGAAAGCGUGGGGAGCAAACAGG
rnacentral:rRNA from 1 species